rnacentral:rRNA from 1 species
GACAGAGGGUGCGAACGUUUGUUCGGAAUUACUGGGCGUAAAGCGCAUGUAGGCGGCAGCGCAAGUCGGGCGUGAAAUCCCACGGCUCAACCGUGGAAGUGCACUCGAAACUGCGCAGCUAGAGUCCUGGAGAGGAAGGUGGAAUGCUUGGUGUAGAGGUGAAAUUCGUAGAUAUCAAGCGGAACACCGGUGGCGAAGGCGGCCUUCUGGACAGUGACGUGACGCUGAGAUGCGAAAGCGUGGG